GACGAACGCUGGCGGCGUGCUUAACACAUGCGAGUCGAACGGAGAGGGCCUGCCUUGGUUCUGUGCUCGAGUGGCGAACGGGUGAGUAACACGUGAGUAACCUGCCUUGUACUGUGGGAUAACUUCAGGAAACUGUAGCUAAUACCGGAUAGUAGCUCCUGUUGCAUGGCAGCGGUUGGAAAGUUUCGGCGGUUGGAGAUGGACUCGCGGCUGAUCAGCAUUAUGGUGGGGGAGGGGCUUCCGAAGGCCUUGACGGAUAGCCGGCCUGAGGGGGUGACCGGCGACAAUGGGACUGCGGUACGGAGCAGUAUGGUACGGGAGGCAGCAGUGGGGAAUAUUGCACAAUGGGCGGACGCCUGAUGCAGCAGCGCCGCGUGCGGGAUGACGGCCUUCGGGUUGUAAACCGCUUUCGCCUGUGACGAAGCGUGAGUGAAGGUAAUGGGUAAAGAAGCACCGGCUAAAUACGUG
rnacentral:rRNA from 1 species